GCAUUCAUCGUUCAUCCACAGUGUAGACGUUGUCAAAUCGCCACAGCUGGCUGGCUUUUCCAUCACACUGGCGCAGGUGGGGGAGUGGCAGCACUGACUCUGCCUGCCUGGGGAAGCCUAGACUUGGGCAAUGGCCAUGACCCAAAUCAACAUCGUGCUGAGCCCAGAAACAAGACUUCAGACAGCUCCUGCCAGCUCCCAGCAGCAAUGUACCAGGCAAGUGACUCCAUACAAAUUCAGUUGGUGUGCAUUUUGGCUUCAUGUUGUGAGAACGCUCCAGAAGAGUCUCUUCUUAUUUUUUCCAUCUUUUCAGCUGCCAGUGACUCUCCUGUCCUUCUGAAUGGGGACCAAGAUUCUCGCAACCACCCUCAGACCCGCCACGUGAGCCCUCUCUGGGUGAAAUCAGUCGCUACUGAUGCCACAACCUACUCUCAGCAGACUGUACUUUGGGGACCUUUGGCUCUUGUACAGAACAGGGAGGCACUGUUGAUACUUUUCAGUCCUAAUUGAGCUUCCAUAGAUCUUCACAAGCCGUCCUACAAUUCCUACAGAAGGGUAAAGAACCAAGAAUGGUUCCUGGCCUGGGAUCAUCGUUGCCCCUUCCUACCUUUCCAGAGCAGAACCUGGCUCUUUGCGGCACAACAGUGGGGGUAGCUUCUGACUAGGAAAGAGAGCUCCAGUCAGGGUGGCAAACUUGUCCCGGUAUUCCCAGAACUUCCUGGAUUAAAAAAACUGAAAGUCCCACAUCCCAGGAACCCCGUCAGUCCAGCAAGGAGGCAUUUGUGGAGGCUUCCAAGAAGACAAACUGAACAGGAUGGGAUGUUUGCUUUCAUGGAUCAGAAAUGAAUCACAUCACUUUCUUUCAGUAACGACACAGAGUUGCAGAGUCACAAGAAAGAAACAACAGAAAGAAAAUGUUUUCGGGGUGGGGGGGGGGGGAGGUUGUGAAUAAAGGGUCCUGCGUGGAGACCCAGGAUUGCGAGACAGAGAUUGACGGUGUUUGACUGUGGUUGCCUCUAGAAGGACAAUAAACUUGCCAUGCCUAUUUACAACUA